UACGUAGGGUGCGAGCGUUGUCCGGAAUUAUUGGGCGUAAAGAGCUCGUAGGCGGUCUGUCGCGUCGAUCGUGAAAACUUGGGGCUUAACCCUGAGCUUGCGGUCGAUACGGGCGUGACUGGAGUUCGGCAGGGGAGACUGGAAUUCCUGGUGUAGCGGUGAAAUGCGCAGAUAUCAGGAGGAACACCGGUGGCGAAGGCGGGUCUCUGGGCCGAUACUGACGCUGAGGAGCGAAAGCGUGGGGAGCGAACAGG
rnacentral:rRNA from 1 species